UACAGAGGGUGCGAGCGUUAUUCGGAAUUACUGGGCGUAAAGCGCACGUAGUCGGCUUUGCAAGUCGGUUGUGAAAUCCCCGGGCUCAACCUGGGAACUGCAUCCGAGACUGCAUUGCUAGAGUAUGGGAGAGGGAAGCGGAAUUUCUGGUGUAGCAGUGAAAUGCGUAGAUAUCAGAAGGAACAUCAGUGGCGAAGGCGGCUUCCUGGACCAAUACUGACGAUCAGGUGCGAAAGCGUGGGGAGCAAACAGG
rnacentral:rRNA from 1 species